UCAGUCUACUCAAAAGGAGUCUAGGCUGUGAGGAUGAAGUCCAACAAAGCAUGUGGUAAAUAUUUCACAAGGCUAUUUUAAUAUUUUAAAGCUAUAUAUUCUCUAGUCAUGAACAAGCAAUGACAGAACAGAAGAAUAGAAAACAGUGAUCAGAACGGUAACUAACACUUACUGAGCACCCAGGCUGGAUUGGACACUGUGCUAAGUCCUCUCCAUGUACUAUCUUCAUUCGUUCUCCUAACAAUUUAAUGAGGUCUGUGCAGUUAACAACCUCAGUGCACAAAGAAAAAGCACAUCCAGCUACAAGUAGAGGAGCCAGGAAUUGAACCUCAGUGGAUGGACCUGGGAGCUUGUGCUCACCACCAGGAGGUACAACUUACAUGACAUAAAGCACAGGAAUCUCAAAGAUAAAGCUUGAUGAGUUUUUGUACAUGUAUAUACAUCUGUGUAGCCACUACCCAGAUCAAGAUAAAGAACACUUUCUGCACCCCUGGGCAGGCUCUGUGCUGUCCCCUCCCAAAGAUGAAGAAACCAAGGUUCAAAGAGCAUUCACAGCUGCCCCAGGUCACACAGCCAGCGAGUGGCAGAGCUGGGACUUGAACUCACGUCCAUCAGACUCUGCAUCCUGAACCCUGCCUCCCAGGAAGGGGAAGGAGUGAGAAAAGAUAAGAAAAGCUGGAAACAUCUGACCGGUUGCGUCUGCUGGGAGGAAGGAGGCUGCAGGCUGCAGGACGGCGAGCAGCAGAGGCCGGGGAAGCUCCAGGCUAUGGUCGUCCGUCUCCUGCUCAGACUGCCUUACUCGAAGCGGAACAGACAGACACACAGGACAGGUCUCCUGCCAGUGCCUUGAUUGGCUGAAUCUAACUGGAAGCCAGAGGACAAGAGAUCCUGUUGAAAC